AGGGUGCAAGCGUUAAUCGGAAUUACUGGGCGUAAAGCGUGCGCAGGCGGUUUGUUAAGUCCGCUGUGAAAUCCCCGAGCUCAACUUGGGAAUUGCAGUGGAUACUGGCAAGCUGGAGUAUGGUAGAGGAAGGUGGAAUUCCCGGUGUAGCAGUGAAAUGCGUAGAGAUCGGGAGGAGCACCAGUGGCGAAGGCGGCCUUCUGGACCAAUACUGACGCUCAUGCACGAAAGCGUGGGGAGCAAACAGG
rnacentral:rRNA from 1 species